CACGUAGUUAGCCGGGGCUUCUUAAUCAGGUACCGUCAUUUUCUUCCCUGCUGAUAGAGCUUUACAUCACGAAUGACUUCUUCACUCACGCGGCGUCGCUGCAUCAGGGUUCCCCCCAUUGUGCAAUAUUCCCCACUGCUGCCUCCCGUAGGAGUUUGGGCCGUGUCUCAGUCCCAAUGUGGCCGUCCGCCCUCUCAGGCCGGCUACCGAUCGUCGCUUUGGUGGGCCUCUACCCCCGCCAACUGGCUAAUCGGACGCGGGUCCAUCCCAUACCACCGGAGUUUUUCACACUGCUUCAUGCAAAGCUGUGCGCUUAUGCGGUAUUAGCAGCCGUUUCCGGCUGGUAUCCCCCGGUAUGGGGCAGGUUACCCACGCGUUACUCCACCCGUCCGCCACUAACAUAAUUCUCACUAGGUUUCAAAUUAUGUCCGCUCGACUGCAUGUGUAGCACGCCGCCAGUCGUCACUCCUGAGCCGAGGAACUCGAAAACCUUCCUCGUUACGA
rnacentral:rRNA from 1 species